ensembl:lncRNA
GUUUAGGAGGGUUAGGCGGGUUAGGAGGGUUUGGCGGGUUAGGAGGGUUAGGAUGGUUUAGGAGGGUUAGGAGGGUUAGGAGGGUUAGGAGGGUUAGGAGGGUUUAGGAGGGUUAGGCGGGUUAGGCGGGUUAGGAGGGUUAGGGGGUUUAGGAGGGUUAGGGGGUUUAGGAGGGUUAGGAGGGUUAGGAGGGUUAGGGGUUUAGGAGGGUUAGGCGGGUUAGGAGGGUUAGGGGUUAGGGGUUUAGGAGUGUUAGGAGGGUUAGGGGGUUUAGGAGGGUUAGGCGGGUUAGGAGGGUUAGGAGGGUUAGGGGGUUAGGCGGGUUUAGGAGGGUUAGGAGGGUUAGGGGGUUUAGGAGGGUUAGGAGGUUUAGGAGGGUUAGGAGGUUUAGGAGGGUUAGGCGGGUUAGGAGGUUUAGGAGGGUUAGGAGGUUUAGGCGGGUUAGGAGGGUUAGGAGGGUUAGGAGGGUUAGGCGGGUUAGGAGGGUUAGGCGGGUUAGGAGGGUUAGGAGAGUUAGGGGGUUUAGGCGGGUUAGGGGGUUUAGGCGGGUUAGGGGUUUAGGAGGGUUAGGGGGUUUAGGAGGGUUAGGGGUUUAGGAGGGUUAGGGGGUUAGGAGGGUUAGGCGGGUUAGGAGGGUUAGGAGGGUUAGGAGGGUUAGGGUGUUAAGGAGGGUUAGGGGUUU